rnacentral:rRNA from 1 species
UACAGAGGGUGCAAGCGUUGUUCGGAAUUAUUGGGCGUAAAGCGCGUGUAGGCGGCUUUGCAAGUCGGGUGUGAAAGCCCUCAGCUCAACUGAGGAAGUGCGCCCGAAACUGCAGAGCUUGAGUCCUGAAGAGGGUGGCGGAAUGCCCAGUGUAGAGGUGAAAUUCGCAGAGAUUGGGUAGAACACCGGUGGCGAAGGCGGCCACCUGGGAAGGUACUGACGCUGAGACGCGAAAGCGUGGGGAGCAAACAGG